GGGGAGAGGAGUCAUCAUCCAGGUAAAGUGACGUGGAUCAGUGGAUACACUUGUCUCCCCUUUAAAGGAGACGAUCCAAGUCAUCCUUAAAUAUGGGCAGCAUAUCAGUCUUGGACUGUCUAACCUGCCGGAGCAGCACUGAAUGACCACCGCACGAGCAUGUUCCUGCAACAUUCAGCAUCUGAUCCUUCAUCUGUGUGCUUCUGCUUUUGUGUCACAUGUCAA